rnacentral:rRNA from 1 species
UACGGAGGGUCCAAGCGUUAUCCGGAAUCAUUGGGUUUAAAGGGUCCGUAGGCGGUUUUGUAAGUCAGUGGUGAAAGCCCAUCGCUCAACGGUGGAACGGCCAUUGAUACUGCAAGACUUGAAUUAUUAGGAAGUAACUAGAAUAUGUAGUGUAGCGGUGAAAUGCUUAGAGAUUACAUGGAAUACCAAUUGCGAAGGCAGGUUACUACCAAUAUAUUGACGCUGAGGCACGAAGGUCAGGGGAGCAAACGGG